UUAAAAACACAUUUCUGCGUGGGUUUUACAGGGAAAAAAUGUUGAUCAAAGACACACAAAUUGUCAGCCACCAAAGUCAGGAUGCUAUUUUCACGAUACGACAGAUGGGUACCACCUCACCCUAUCAAUAUUAUGAUCGGAUCUGCCGACCGUGUGCCAGGGGAAACAACUGUCGAUUUAUAACAGAUAUGAUAGUAAUCUGUUGAUUCAUUCCCUUGGUUAGGGAUUCCAGCCUCGGUCGAACCAGUUCUGACGCCCACCUGCCCAACAUAACCACCUGUACAACCACUUCCCACUUCCCCAUUUUCUUUUUUAAAGACACUGUCCAAUAGGACAGCUUAUUUUCAGAUUACCCUUUUCUCUCCUUGACAGCAAUGGUGUAGAUGGCCUCGUGGUUAGGCUUCGAGACCCAUAAUCGUGAGAUUGCAGGUUGCGGAGUUCGAGCCCCAGCUCGGUCCGACGUUGUGUCAUUGGAAAAGACUUGCUGCUGGUGACCAAGACUUCGCUAGCCCACUAAAAAUAGAUUGAACAGACAAACAAACAAAACACAAAGGAGGUCGUUGCAGGAGAGACACUCGAACAGAGAUCCUAGAAAACUUAAUCCUAUUUUCCUUCUGCAGUUUUCACAAAUCAGAACAAUAAAAAAACGUUUUUAAAAACUGCAACUGAAUAUUCUCAGGUUACCCUUUAAAGAAGAAACAAAUAAAUAAAAAUCAAACUUUAAAAAAGAAAAGAAAAAAAAAGAACAACCCGCAACUGACAGCUCGCAAAACUGGUAACUUGAUUUUAAAAA